rnacentral:snRNA from 2 species
GUCCCUUCUGGGACAUCUGAUAAAAUAGGAUCGAUACAAAGAAGAUUAGCAUGGCCCCUACACAAGGAUGGCAUUCACAAGUCGAGAAAUGGUCCAACUUUUG